rnacentral:tRNA from 1 species
CAGGGAGACAACAAAAUGUUUAAUAUUACUAUUUUGUCACCUUAGGUCGAUCGGUAUCUCACGUUCUUAAAUUUGUUAAGAAUUUCAUUUCCUAAGUUUUUCUAGGUCACACCCAUAAUUUUUUCCUGGGCCAUUAGCUCAGGUGGUUAGAGCGCACCCCUGAUAAGGGUGAGGUCCCUGGUUCAAGUCCAGGAUGGCCCAUAUCUCUAUGUUGGGGGUAUAGCUCAGUUGGUAGAGCGCCUGCUUUGCAAGCAGGAUGUCAGUGGUUCGAGUCCGCUUACCUCCACUGAUUACCACCUCUUCCAUAAUCUGUAGAAAAGGAAAUGUUUUGAGUUGUGAUCAAAUUCUGAACGAAUCUAGCUUCCUAAUGAAAUCAUUAAGAUGCUGGACUCAUUGAAUUAAUUUCAUUGUUUUCAGAGAACCUUGACAACUGCAUAGAUUAUUUUUAAAGACAAUAAGCAUCUUUAUGAUGCAGAUUUAUUAUUUGUGCGAAUGCAUUAAUAACAAUUCUAUUAAGCUGAUGCUUCAAUUUUUGAAGUUAUU